rnacentral:rRNA from 1 species
AGUGAACGCUGGCGGUAGGCCUAACACAUGCAAGUCGAACGGCAGCACAGUAAGAGCUUGCUCUUACGGGUGGCGCGUGGCGGACGGGUGCGGAAUACAUCGGAAUCUACUUUUUCGUGGGUGAUAACGUAGGGAAACUUACGCUAAUACCGCAUACGACCUACGGGUGAAAGCAGGGGAUCUUCGGACCUUGCGCGAUUGAAUGAGCCGAUGUCGGAUUAGCUAGUUGGCGGGGUAAAGGCCCACCAAGGCGACGAUCCGAAGCUGGUCUGAGAGGAUGAUCAGCCACACUGGAACUGAGACACGGUCCAGACUCCUACGGGAGGCAGCAGUGGGGAAUAUUGGACAAUGCGCGCAAGCCUGAUCCAGCCAUACCGCGUGGGUGAAGAAGGCCUUCGGGUUGUAAAGCCCUUUUGUUGGGAAAGAAAAGCAGCAGGUUAAUACCCCGCUGUUCUGACGGUACCCAAAGAAUAAGCACCGGCUAACUUCGUG